rnacentral:rRNA from 1 species
AGCGAACGCUGGCGGCAGGCUUAACACAUGCAAGUCGAGCGGGCACUUCGGUGUCAGCGGCAGACGGGUGAGUAACACGUGGGAACGUACCCUUUGGUUCGGAAUAACGCUGGGAAACUAGCGCUAAUACCGGAUACGCCCUUUUGGGGAAAGGCUUGCUGCCGAAGGAUCGGCCCGCGUCUGAUUAGCUAGUUGGUGGGGUAAUGGCCUACCAAGGCGACGAUCAGUAGCUGGUCUGAGAGGAUGAUCAGCCACGCUGGGACUGAGACACGGCCCAGACUCCUACGGGAGGCAGCAGUGGGGAAUAUUGGACAAUGGGCGCAAGCCUGAUCCAGCCAUGCCGCGUGAGUGAUGAAGGCCUUAGGGUUGUAAAGCUCUUUUGUCCGGGACGAUAAUGACGGUACCGGAAGAAUAAGCCCCGGCUAACUUC